CGUGUUCCAUGUUACCAUUUAUGUUAUUGCUAUGGACUAUCUAGGUUUGUAGUAUGUGGAGUUUGAUGAUCUCUUAGUUUUGGACUUUGGUCGUCGCAAAGGGCAGCAGAGACGUGACAAUACACGUGGGAUGCUCUAACGGAUCCAGGUGCUCCGUGCAGAUCAAGCAGAAAUCGAGCGUGGGAUCAUUCAAGCCUAUUCUUGCUAAGAAUUACUUUCUUCUUGCAGAGCAACAGAGGUUGAUUUACAAAGGCAGGAUUUUGAAGGAUGACCAAACCCUUAAUAGCUACAGACUACGUUAUUUGUGGGAGGGCUCGACUCUGAUGUCACUGAUGAAGUGCUCAGACAAACCUUUUCUCAGUAUGGCAAAGUUAUCUCUGAAAAUACCUGCUCGGAAAGGAUAUAAUUUUGUUCAAUUUGCCAACAGGUGCAACUAUUCGCCAUUGUUAUAUUUCGAAUGAAUGUCUUGAUAGGAUAUUCCGAAGUACAAAAAAAAAAAAAUGUCUUGAUAGGAUAUAAGUAAUGAAAUUAUUGAUUUCUAAUCUCUGCUAUGAACAAGAAGUUUUUCUAUUUGUUUCAAUCAGUGCAGAGAAGUUAAUGUCUUGUUUGGAUGCCAAUUUGAAAAAAAAUUCUAACUCAAAAAACACUCAUUACCUCUACUUUCUAUCAUUAAUCUCAUUUCUCUCUCCACUCUCUAAUCAUUAUUCUCAUUUCUCUUUAUCUCCCACUACUCAUUACCCUUAUCUCUGAUCAUUAUCCUAUUUUCUCUCUCCACUCAUUACCUAAAAAUUAAACUCAAAAUUUUUCAAAAUCUCAUCCAAACAAAGCAUAAAUCUCUUUUGAAAGUCGUACCCAUUUUCUCAAGACAUUCCCCAUAAAUGAAGCACUGAAUGUUGUAAUUGCUAUUCCUGAAAUGGCGGCUACUUGCGUUUGAAAUUUCACUGUUUAACUACUAUAUGUCCGCCCUUUUGUGGUUUUAUAAUUGCACAAAUAUCGUAGAGGAUGCAAUACAGAGGCUUACCGAGGUUGUAAUCAACAGUCAGAUGGUUCACCUUUCUUGGGGUUGGAGUCCAGGGAACAGGCAGAUACAUUUUUUCAACGUAGUGCAUAGUUCUAACUUAUUGGACACUCAAGUCAGGAAAAAUGGCAGUGAUGAAAAGACUUGAUGAGCAUGUGUGUGUAAGAGUUCCAAAGUUCUAUCUGCAACGAGAGCUGGCGCGAGAACUGACCCUACAAAAAUCUGUGUGGCUGAUUUGAGAGACUCAACAAACGACCCACUAUCUCGAGUUGUAAUUCUUUUGGUGUGCAUGAUUUGCUUUCUGAUACUUUAGGACCAUGUAUCUACCAUGAACUUUACUACAAACUUUUUGUAAAUAUAAUCCUUAUGUUUGCCUG